rnacentral:rRNA from 1 species
AUGCCAGAUAAUCGAUUUCCGGGAGUCAGACAGUGGGAGAUAAGUUUCAUUGUCAAAAGGGAAACAGCCCAGAUCUACAGCUAAGGUCCCAAAGUCAGGUUAAGUGGAAAACGAUGUGAAGAUACGUAGACAACCAGGAUGUUGGCUCAGAAGCAGCCACUCAUUCAAAGAGUGCGUAAUAGCUCACUGGUCGAGCGUCUUUGCGCGGAGAAUUUAACGGGGCUAAACCUGACACCGAAGCUUAGGCAGCAUGUUUACAUGCUGGGUAGGGGAGCGUUGUAUACGCGGUGAAACAGUAGCGCAAGCGGCUGUGGAGUGUAUAGAAGUGAGAAUGCCGGAAUGAGUAGCGCGAAUGCAGUGAGAAUCUGCAUGGCCGAAAGCCUCAGGUUUCUGGAGGAAGGUUCGUCCGCUCCAGGUUAGUCGGGAGCUAAGGUGAGGCCUAACGGCGUAGCCGAUGCACAGACGGUAGAGAUUCCGUCACCACCAAAAGAGUUAAGCACAGGGACACAUAUGAAGUCUCGGAGCCGGGUGUUGGUUCCGGUAGCGAUCGAGGGAAGUUAGUACCGAAGUCCGGGAUGGAAGAUGGCGAGAAAAGCUGUGUGUAUUUCUGCGGUGCCCGUACCGCAAACCGACACAGGUAGGUAGGAAGAAGAUUCUAAGGCCAACGGGAGAAGGGUUGUUAAGGAACUCGGCAAAUUGACCCCGUAACUUCGGGAGAAGGGGUGCUGCAGCAAUGCAGCCGCAGAGAAUCGGCCCAAGCAACUGUUUACCAAAAACACAGGUUUGUGCUAAAUCGAAAGAUGACGUAUACGAGCUGACGCCUGCCCGGUGCUGGAAGGUUAAGAGGAGAUGUGCAAGCAUUGAAUCGAAGCCCCAGUGAACGGCGGCCGUAACUAUAACGGUCCUAAGGUAGCGAAAUUCCUUGUCAGGUAAGUUCUGACCCGCAUGAAAGGCGUAAUGAUUUGGGCACUGUCUCAACAGCCCGCCCGGCGAAAUUGUAGUACCGGUGAAGAUGCCGGUUACCCGCGACAAGACGGAAAGACCCCAUGGAGCUUUACUGUAGCCUAAUAUUGGGUUUCGAUGUUGCAUGCACAGGAUAGAUGGGACACUGGGAAGCAGGUGCUUUGGCGCUUGUGGAGUGGCCGUUGGGAUACCAUCCUUGCGAUAUUGGAAUUCUAACCUGCGCCUUUGAAUCAAGGCGGGGGACAUUGUUAGGUGGGCAGUUUGACUGGGGCGGUCGCCUCCUAAAGAGUAACGGAGGCGUUCAAAGGUUCGCUCAGCUUGAACGGAAAUCAAGCAAAAGAGUGCAAACGCAGAAGCGAGCCUAACUGCGAGACUGACGGGUCGAGCAGUAACGAAAGUUGGAGUUAGUGAUCCGGUGGUAUGUGAGUGGAAAUGCCAUCGCUCAACGGAUAAAAGUUACCCUGGGGAUAACAGGCUGAUCUCCCCCAAGAGUCCACAUCGACGGGGAGGUUUGGCACCUCGAUGUCGGCUCAUCGCAUCCUGGGGCUGAAGUAGGUCCCAAGGGUUGGGCUGUUCGCCCAUUAAAGCGGUACGCGAGCUGGGUUCAGAACGUCGUGAGACAGUUCGGUCCCUAUCUGUCGUGGGCGCAGGAUAUUUGAUGGGAGCUGUUCCUAGUACGAGAGGACCGGAGCGGACGUACCUCUGGCGCACCAGUUGUUCUGCCAAGAGCAUAGCUGGGCAACUAUGUACGGAUCGGAUAAACGCUGAAAGCAUCUAAGCGUGAAGCCGACCCAAAGAUAAGAUAUCCCAUUGU